AUGCAUCUAGAAGCUGCAGGACAGUAGCUCUCGAGGACUGGAGUUGGCACCCCUGUUUUAGAGCAACCUAUACUACGAUCCAGUCUAUUUCUUUUUAAGCAAAGCUCUUGCACAUUUUAGUAAAACAAUGUUAAACUGCAUUCUGCAUCUAGUACAACAGCACAGCUUCAUAGUAGAAGGGUGUGGGUGCUUAGGUGACUUGCUUGCACUCCAGAUGUUACAUCAAAGAAGACCCAGGAAUGUUGAGCAGUUAGAAUCGUCUAUCAGACAACAAUGGAGCAACAUGACAAAAGUCCAGAAGCUGGUCUCCAUGGUUCCCGGACGUUUAUGGACAGUUGUUUGAAGAAGAGUGAAUGCUACGCCGUGGCAAACAUGACCCUGUUCUAAAGUGUCGCUGUCAUGGAACUCAAAUAAGCUAAAAUCUUUCCCUAACUGAGUCCAAACUUUUUCCAAACUGGACUUGUAGAAGAAGCAGGUUGACCUAAAGAGCGGGAGGAAUGAAGGGGCAUGAAAAGAGGGAUUAAUGUGCAGAGACUGAGAUGGAAAUCAAAACUGAGGAUUAAGCUGAGAAUCGGAAGAAGAGUUUGGGUCUUAAAAAGACAAAGAUGGAUAUAAAAAGAGCUUCGUAGCAGUCAGUACGUCCACAUGCUGAUCUGAGCUGACUGUCGGGCAACAGAUGGACAUCUUAAUCUUCCUCAUCAUCCCCUCCUCCAAUAACACUACCAUUAUAGCAUAAUGGUGUCUGGUCUGGCCACCAGAGACACAAGAUUGAUGCAGUGGGCUUUUCCCCCAGAAUAACAUAAACACUGAAAUCAGCUGAUUUGGUAGCAGACUAGCUUUGAUUUUCUUUGUUCUAUCUAUCUAUCUAUCUAUCUAUCUAUCUAUCUAUCUAUCUAUCUAUAAAAAAAUCUGUAGAUGGUU